GAUGAACGCUGGCGGCGUGCCUAAUACAUGCAAGUCGAGCGAACGGACGAGAAGCUUGCUUCUCUGAUGUUAGCGGCGGACGGGUGAGUAACACGUGGAUAACCUACCUAUAAGACUGGGAUAACUUCGGGAAACCGGAGCUAAUACCGGAUAAUAUUUUGAACCGCAUGGUUCAAAAGUGAAAGACGGUCUUGCUGUCACUUAUAGAUGGAUCCGCGCUGCAUUAGCUAGUUGGUAAGGUAACGGCUUACCAAGGCAACGAUGCAUAGCCGACCUGAGAGGGUGAUCGGCCACACUGGAACUGAGACACGGUCCAGACUCCUACGGGAGGCAGCAGUAGGGAAUCUUCCGCAAUGGGCGAAAGCCUGACGGAGCAACGCCGCGUGAGUGAUGAAGGUCUUCGGAUCGUAAAACUCUGUUAUUAGGGAAGAACAUAUGUGUAAGUAACUGUGCACAUCUUGACGGUACCUAAUCAGAAAGCCACGGCUAACUACGUGCCAGCAGCCGCGGUAAUACGUAGGUGGUAAGCGUUAUCCGGAAUUAUUGGGCGUAAAGCGCGCGUAGGCGGUUUUUUAAGUCUGAUGUGAAAGCCCACGGCUCAACCGUGGAGGGUCAUUGGAAACUGGAAAACUUGAGUGCAGAAGAGGAAAGUGGAAUUCCAUGUGUAGCGGUGAAAUGCGCAGAGAUAUGGAGGAACACCAGUGGCGAAGGCGACUUUCUGGUCUGUAACUGACGCUGAUGUGCGAAAGCGUGGGGAUCAAACAGGAUUAGAUACCCUGGUAGUCCACGCCGUAAACGAUGAGUGCUAAGUGUUAGGGGGUUUCCGCCCCUUAGUGCUGCAGCUAACGCAUUAAGCACUCCGCCUGGGGAGUACGACCGCAAGGUUGAAACUCAAAGGAAUUGACGGGGACCCGCACAAGCGGUGGAGCAUGUGGUUUAAUUCGAAGCAACGCGAAGAACCUUACCAAAUCUUGACAUCCUUUGACAACUCUAGAGAUAGAGCCUUCCCCUUCGGGGGACAAAGUGACAGGUGGUGCAUGGUUGUCGUCAGCUCGUGUCGUGAGAUGUUGGGUUAAGUCCCGCAACGAGCGCAACCCUUAAGCUUAGUUGCCAUCAUUAAGUUGGGCACUCUAAGUUGACUGCCGGUGACAAACCGGAGGAAGGUGGGGAUGACGUCAAAUCAUCAUGCCCCUUAUGAUUUGGGCUACACACGUGCUACAAUGGACAAUACAAAGGGCAGCGAAACCGCGAGGUCAAGCAAAUCCCAUAAAGUUGUUCUCAGUUCGGAUUGUAGUCUGCAACUCGACUACAUGAAGCUGGAAUCGCUAGUAAUCGUAGAUCAGCAUGCUACGGUGAAUACGUUCCCGGGUCU
rnacentral:rRNA from 1 species